rnacentral:rRNA from 1 species
GACGAACGCUGGCGGCGUGCUUAACACAUGCAAGUCGAACGGUAAGGCCCUUCGGGGUACACGAGUGGCGAACGGGUGAGUAACACGUGGGUGAUCUGCCCUGCACUUCGGGAUAAGCCUGGGAAACUGGGUCUAAUACCGGAUAGGACCACUGCCUGCAUGGGUGGUGGUGGAAAGCUUUCGCGGUGUGGGAUGGGCCCGCGGCCUAUCAGCUUGUUGGUGGGGUGAUGGCCUACCAAGGCGACGACGGGUAGCCGGCCUGAGAGGGUGACCGGCCACACUGGGACUGAGAUUCGGCCCAGACUCCUACGGGAGGCAGCAGUGGGGAAUAUUGCACAAUGGGCGCAAGCCUGAUGCAGCGACGCCGCGUGAGGGAUGACGGCCUUCGGGUUGUAAACCUCUUUCAGCACCGACGAAGCGCAAGUGACGGUAGGUGCAGAAGAAGGACCGGCCAACUACGUGCCAGCCGCCGCGAUAAAAC